AUACUUACCUGGCCAGGGAGAUGCCAUGAUCAUGGAGGUGGUUUUCCCAGGGCAAGGCUUAUCCAUUGCACUCCUGAUGUGCUGGCCCCUGAGAUUUCCCCAAAUGUGGGAAACUCAACUGCAUAAUUUGUGGUAGUGGGGGGCUGUGUUCGCACUCUCCCCUA
rnacentral:snRNA from 1 species